GAUGAACGCUGGCGGCGUGCCUAAUACAUGCAAGUCGAGCGAACAGACGAGGAGCUUGCUCCUUUGACGUUAGCGGCGGACGGGUGAGUAACACGUGGAUAACCUACCUAUAAGACUGGGAUAACUUCGGGAAACCGGAGCUAAUACCGGAUAACAUGUUGAACCGCAUGGUUCAACAGUGAAAGACGGUCUUGCUGUCACUUAUAGAUGGAUCCGCGCCGCAUUAGCUAGUUGGUAAGGUAACGGUUUACCAAGGCAACGAUGCGUAGCCGACCUGAGAGGGUGAUCGGCCACACUGGAACUGAGACACGGUCCAGACUCCUACGGGAGGCAGCAGUAGGGAAUCUUCCGCAAUGGGCGAAAGCCUGACGGAGCAACGCCGCGUGAGUGAAGAAGGUCUUCGGAUCGUAAAACUCUGUUAUUAGGGAAGAACAAAUGUGUAAGUAACUAUGCACGUCUUGACGGUACCUAAUCAGAAAGCCACGGCUAACUACGUG
rnacentral:rRNA from 1 species